AGGGCAACAACUUUUUAAAGGCUCCCCUAACGUACUUCAGGAUCCCUGACUGAGAGUGGCUGACUAUGGCAGUAUAUGGGCAUACUAAUCACUGGAGAAAUAAUAGCGAGAAAUAACCAAGGAAAAGCACUACUCUCCAAAAACAUUAAAAAAAAAAAACAACUGAACAACUAGUAAGAAAGAACGCUGGAUCUGAGCACCCUGUAAGUCGCUUCCCCGUGGGCCGGGUAAAGGUUUUAAAACCCGCCGCCUCCAGGAAGACGGCCACGUGCACAAGGAUUAGCUGCAAACUCCGUGCCCAGUCUGGCCGGGAGAAUUGCUAAAACCGAC
rnacentral:lncRNA from 1 species